AAGCCGUGUUGUGGGCAUGAACUGAUAAGAUCCUUUAACCACUCCCAAUAUUAGAAGAAUGUUUCAUCUUCUUUUUGUUCAAAGUUCAUGAUUGACUUUCUAAUGGU